AAGAGGAAUGGAGAUCCCGAGGGGUCAAGUUCAGAGGGUCUGUUCUCUGCCCUUCCCGGCCCAUCUGCCCCUGGCCCCGACCCCAGCUCUGGCUGAUCCCUUCCCAGGAUCCAGAGAACUGACUGGCUGAGCCAGGCUACACUUCCAGGCUGUAGCCACGCAGUUCUAGAGAGAACGUCUUCAUUUCACAGAUGAAUCCUAAAGAGUGUCUCCCGAGAGAACCUGAAUGGUUGGCUGGGAAUGGCAGAACCACCCCAAAUCUCUGCUACAAGAUCCAGGGCCUUGUCCUACUCUGCCUCAGUCAGUUGGAAGGCGCAGGAGUCAUUCACCCUCUCCCUGAGAAACUGAUAACCAGCCAUGGACAUAGGAUGCGGCCAUCCUAACCAUCCACCUAGGAUCAAAGAAUGGAUGUGGAUUCUAGUUCUUCAAUGUAAGGAAGGAGGCACAGAACACCAAGGAGAGAUGCUGCCAAGGAAUUGAUAGAAGGCGUUUGGUUGGAGAGUCCUUGAGACUGGUCCCUCAUCCCUGCACAUGAUAGGAAACUGAAGCAACAGAAAUGUCAACAAACAUUGACAUUUGGUCUGUGUCAGUCUACUUGUGGCUCUUCAUCUGGAUCUUGGCUCCAAAUCUCACUUGAGGAUGUCUGAUAAGCUUCAAUUACUCAAGAGACUGAGCCAAGGCUGCCCUGGCUCAUAACUCUUCUGGACUCCUGGAUUUCCCAAGAAGGCAGUCCUCUGAAAGGCUAUGCGACGUCUUCCCAGGGCUGCCAUCUCGGACCCCUUUCCUCUGGCCUUGGGAGAGUAAAGAGCUACUUGUCUGUGGUGGACAACGGACUUGGGAGGGCUGGUACCAAGUAGCUUCUCCCCUCUGUGGCAUUUCCUGCCUCUGCCUUUCCUUUGACUUACAGACUCAUCUAACUCUCCAGCUUCCAUUAUGCCUGGCAAGCACCACUUUUUGCCCAUAAAGACAGCUUGCAUCUCUCUGG